AAUCAACGCUGGCGGCGUGCCUCAGACAUGCAAGUCGAACGAUUAAAGCUCUCUUCGGAGAGUGUAUAGAGUGGCGCACGGGUGAGUAACACGUAAGUAAUCUACCUUUGAGUGGGGAAUAACCCGGGGGAAACCCGAGCUAAUACCGCAUAAUGCAGCGGCAUCGCAAGAUGACAGUUGUUAAAGGAGCAAUCCGCUUAAAGAGGAGCUUGCGGCAGAUAGCUAGUUGGUAAGGUAAUGGCUUACCAAGGCUACGAUCUGUAUCCGGUCUAAGAGGACGGUCGGACACACUGACACUGAAUAACGGGUCAGACUCCUACGGGAGGCAGCAGUCGGGAAUUUUGGGCAAUGGGCGAAAGCCUGACCCAGCAACGCCGCGUGAAGGAUGAAGUAUUCGGU
rnacentral:rRNA from 1 species